rnacentral:lncRNA from 1 species
GGAAGUCCUUGCCUAGCCUAGAGUUGGUUGGGUGUGGCUAGUCACCUAUUCCUAGAUCAUGUGGUGUUUACAUCAGCUUAAUAUGUUUGUCAAAUGUGUGAAGGAUUAGGGGUUAUUAUUAUUGACUUUGUAUGUCUGGUACUUUGAGUGCAUCGUAUGAUAGAAUGAAAUGUAAGUUUCUGAACUACAGUAGAUGAAGACUUAUAUUAUGUGUAGGUUAUCAUUACUAGUUGGAUAUUUUUCUUAGUUGAGAUGUUGAAUGAAGUAUAGUGACAUGGGUUAAGCAAGUAUUGUGUUGUUGUUGGGCUAUCAGUGCUCUAUGUAGAGUUUUUGGCAUUUCUUCGAUGAACUAUGCCGCACAAGAUGUUAUUGGCUUCUUUUGGCUUUAUUGCUCCAUUAGUUCUAUAGAUUUUCUCCCUUUUGGUGGGGUGCAAGGAAUGUUAGAUUACAUGAUUAUCUUUUCAUGAUGGCAAGAAUAAGGUUUAGGAAGAUUAGGAGUUUUGUUCCAAUGGAACUACUUGUUUCAUAGUGCUUUAAGGUGAGGUGUUUGAUCUUCUUAUACAUUCAUCGGGUGUAGAUGUUUCACCAUUUAAUUAAAAUUAAUGGUUGAAGUUGGUAAGGGUUGUGCUUGGUGCAUAUUACCCCUUCAUAAAAGAGUGUUGUCUUAAGACAUUGAUGUUGAUGUAUAGCUGCAUCCAAAUUUGAUGGUGUGAAAUUGGAGUGUUGAUUGCAACUAUGACAUGCUUUGAGCUUCAUUACAUGUUCUUUCAUGCUUGAUGUCAGGUCGUGUAGUUUCCUUAGACAAUUAGUCCAAGGUAGAAGUUCUUGUGUUAAUUAAGACCAAUAAUGGACCCAUGUUUUGAAUUGUGGUGCUAUAUGGGGUACCUUGGGUGUUUUGCUUGGAGUGGCCGAAUUCGAGGUCGAAUUCUUUUUAAGGGGGGUAGAGUGUAAUAUCCCAAAAAAAAUGUUGACCAAAAGUUAAUCUCUGGUGCGUGGAUGAGGUAAAGGGUUGUGGGCCAUUGGAUGCAAAGAUAGAAGUCAUCUGAGGCGUUGUUUCUUUCUCCCACAAAAACCCUAGGUGGCCACCCCUUUUUUUCCCUUCACCCCCCCUCUUGGCCGCCACCCCCUUUUUCUCCCCCUUGGCUGGACGCCCCCUCCCCCUAUGGCAGCCAUCCUCCAUUGCUUCCUCCCCCAAGAUCUCCCCCUACGCAGCAAGGAUCGAGAAAAGGAGGGGCACGUUGAAUUGAAGAGGAAGAGAGGAUCAAGGAGAUGUUCUUCCCCAUCUCCUCUUGAAGAUUUCUUGGGGAAACCCUAGGUAUGGAUGAGAUCCUUGUUCCUCCCUGUAAUUAUAGGCUUUUGGAGGUUGUGGAUCAUGGGAAUUAAAGGAUUAGAGGUUGGAUUUGAUGUGGGGUUAGGUUUUGAUCUCGAAUUUAGUUUUCUGCAGAAUGGCAGAUUCGACAGUUUCUGUUCAUGCCAGUUUUCCGUGGUCUUAGUGGCCUCAAAAAAAUAAAAAGUCUAUGUAUGAGUCGUAGAUAAUUUGUAGAUCUUUCCGUGGCCGCGAAGAACACCUCAAUCGGACAUCCGACCAGAAAGUUAUUGCAGUUUUACUAUAGUAGUUUUUCAGUCUCAUAAUUCUGUGCAGAAUCUGUUCUCUUAAGAUUUAGGCAAUUUUAUCAACAGAAUUAAACUGUGGGUUGGUAAAAGAAGUUGUAGAUAAUUUUAUAAGCUUUCCAGAUUGUUAAAUAGUGCAUUCAUAUGAUUUGUGAAACUCCAGUUAUGUUUGUUUUACUGUGGCUGUUCCUGUUUACCUGACAAAAAUGAGUCGGUCUGUUCACUGGUGGGUUUCAUCUAGUAAAUGGCCGAAUUGGCUCUUCCAACUAUGGAGACUUUUGUAGAGGGAUAAAAGUUCUUACUUCCAGCAGAAUUUCAUAAUUUUUGGUUCAGCAGUUUUGGAGAUAUCGAAUUUUAAAGUUAACCAUACUGCUGUCUAAAACAGAUUCAGUCAGUUAUCUUGUCAGAUGUUUUAGAACUUGUAGAUGGCAGAAUUUAAUUAUCUAUUGAAUACUGAAGUUGUAGAGUAUUUUGUGUAGAUACUCCUAGAGUAUUUGUUUGAUAUCACCGCUGUUUUAAUUUUAAAGAUACAAAAUUAACAAACAGCGUUGCUGCUGUAUGGCAUGUGGUUCAGGGUGGGAGUCUUUCCACUGGGUCUUGGUUUCAAGUGUAGGAGUGUUUUGUUGAUUGAUGGCAAAUGUUUGUGAAAUAUUUGUACUAAGUUUUAUGCCCACUAGCAGGUGGCUACACUCCAGAUCAUGUCUAGUACAUUUCUUCUUCUUCGAUGAAGGCAAGUGAAUGUAGCGGUGGUUGCUUCCGUUCUGACCUGUUAUUUCUAUCGCCUACACUCUAAUAUUCAGAAGUAUCAGAUUCUUUCAUAAUUGGACUCUAUGGUGAUGCUUUACUUGCUUGCAUUAUACUGAUGCUCAAUCAUAUAUUGAUGAUGAUUAUGAUUUGAGUAUGACUCAUGAGAUUAAUUCACACCCCUGAAGGUAAAUGAAGUAUUAUUUGAGGUUUGUGUUGUAUCUGAAGGAAGUGAAGUUUAUUGAUAAAUGUAGCAUGCCAUAUACAUUGCAUGACUUGUUUGCAUAUGAAGUUUUGUCGUGACCUAUGGUCCGACCGUACCGGUACAACUUAGCAUCGUACGUUGCCCGAGAAGGGGUACGAUGCGGCUUCAUACCCUUAGAGGUAUGAAGGCAGAGGACAUAUGCAUUGCAUUCAUAUGCAUUCAUUGAAGUGAUAUUUGCAGAUGAUGUGGUUUUAUACCCCCAGAGGUAUGAAGAUAGAGUACCUACACAUUGCAUUCCUAUGCAUACAUUGAAGUGAUAUUUGCAGGUAUUGUUGACGCAGGGAAGUGUUAUAGAACCUAUUGUGGAUUUUCGAGGAAAUGAGAUGGUAUUGGUUAUAGUGGGACUACUGAGUUCUAUAUCUACAAGCAUUUCUGAUUUUUAAUUGUGACUCUUUUAAAAUGUUGAUGAAUUCAAUUUGUGGUUUAAAUAUCUCGUCAGAACAAUUAGCUUGCUGAGAUGUUUCAUCUCACUCUUGCAUUACUCAAUGCAGGUGCUUGUUGCUCAUCAAGGGGAGUGAAAAGUAGCAGCACAUCCACCUUCAUUCUCAUAAUAAUGCUGCCCAGACGCAGCCAUGAUUUAAUUAGAAACUUCUUGUCAAAGGAUGUUUGUUUUUAACUAGUCGUGCGCACUGAUUAAUUCAGUUCAUGUUGUUAUGGUUGUCUUCCCAUUGCUAGCAGAUUAUUAAUGUCUUAUAUGUUUUCUUA